GACGAACGCUGGCGGCGUGCUUAACACAUGCAAGUCAAACGAUGAACCCGGAGCUUGCUCCGGCGGAUUAGUGGCGAACGGGUGAGUAAUACGUGAGUAACCUGCCCUUGACUCUGGGAUAACUGCUAGAAAUGGUAGCUAAUACCGGAUACGACCCUCGGUGGCAUCACCAGGGGGUGGAAAGAAUUUCGGUCAAGGAUGGACUCGCGGCCUAUCAGCUAGUUGGUGAGGUAACGGCUCACCAAGGCGACGACGGGUAGCCGGCCUGAGAGGGUAACCGGCCACACUGGGACUGAGACACGGCCCAGACUCCUACGGGAGGCAGCAGUGGGGAAUAUUGCACAAUGGGCGCAAGCCUGAUGCAGCAACGCCGCGUGAGGGAUGACGGCCUUCGGGUUGUAAACCUCUUUUAGUAGGGAAGAAGCGAAAGUGACGAUACCUGCAGAAAAAGCACCGGCUAACUACGUGCCAGCCGCCGCCGUAA
rnacentral:rRNA from 1 species